UCUUCGGAUGUAAAGCACUUUCGACCGGGACGAACACCCCUUGGCCAAUAUCCAAGGGCCUGACGGUACCGGGAGAAGAAGCACCGGCUAACUCUGUGC
rnacentral:rRNA from 1 species